GAUGAACGCUGGCGGCGUGCCUAAUACAUGCAAGUCGAGCGAACAGACGAGGAGCUUGCUCCUCUGACGUUAGCGGCGGACGGGUGAGUAACACGUGGAUAACCUACCUAUAAGACUGGGAUAACUUCGGGAAACCGGAGCUAAUACCGGAUAAUAUAUUGAACCGCAUGGUUCAAUAGUGAAAGACGGUUUUGCUGUCACUUAUAGAUGGAUCCGCGCCGCAUUAGCUAGUUGGUAAGGUAACGGCUUACCAAGGCAACGAUGCGUAGCCGACCUGAGAGGGUGAUCGGCCACACUGGAACUGAGACACGGUCCAGACUCCUAGGGGAGGCAGCAGUAGGGAAUCUUCCGCAAGGGGCGAAAGCUUGACGGAGCAACGCCGCGUGAGUGAUGAAGUUCUUCGGAUCGUAAAACUCUGUUAUUAGGGAAGAACAAAUGUGUAAGUAACUAUGCACGUCUUGACGGUACCUAAUCAGAAAGCCACGGCUAACUACGUG
rnacentral:rRNA from 1 species